rnacentral:antisense_RNA from 1 species
CUACCUUCUGCAUCAUCUUCUUUUAUUGGUAAAUGAUUUAACCAUACUUUUAUGAG